GCACCAUAAUUCAAAAGCAUCAAUUCUUCGGCGAUCAGCCUUCUUUGUGGUCCAGCUCUCAUUUCCAUACAUCACUUCCAUACAUCAAAAGCUAAAUACUGACAUGAGACCAAGAGUCAACAAGUACCAUAAGGAAAAGUUGGAAAGAGCUAUGAAGAAAGAAUUCAAGAGGAUGUGAAACUGUUAAGAGGUGUCCAUGGAUCUUCUGAGAAUAGCAGAUGUUCCAGUGAACCAGAGUAGACUGGAUCUUCUCAGAGUUGUGUUGCUUGGGAAUGCAGCACAAAGCAAGGGAGCCAAUUUGGGCCCCAGGUUAUGGGUACCCAGUGUGUGUGACAUCAUGACAUCAUGUUGCAAUGUGAUGUCAUGAUGCCACACCUGCCCCUUGGUCUCAGAACCUGA